rnacentral:rRNA from 1 species
AGUGGCGGACGGGUGAGUAACGCGUGGGCAACCUGGCCUGUACAGGGGGAUAACACUUAGAAAUAGGUGCUAAUACCGCAUAAGCGCACGGUUCCGCAUGGAACAGUGUGAAAAACUCCGGUGGUAUACGAUGGAUCCGCGUCUGAUUAGCCAGUUGGCGGGGUAACGGCCCACCAAAGCGACGAUCAGUAGCCGGCCUGAGAGGGUGAACGGCCACAUUGGGACUGAGACACGGCCCAAACUCCUACGGAAGGCAGCAG